GCCGACCCGUCAGCGCGCUCGCGCCGAAUCUGAAUGUCCCUCCUCGCGCACCGUACUUCUUCCGGAAGUCAGUGAACGUUGCCAUAGUGACUGUUCCUGUUGGGGUUGCGGACUUCGCGCAGUUCCAAUUGGCUGUUACCUUUAAAUGCAUCCCCUAUGGACUCAACACCAGGCAGAUUUGGACACAGUAUUUAUUCAAUGAUGUUCCAUACUUAGUCACCACAUGGCUCUCUACCUGCAUCGCAGCUCCCCACCUUGGAUUGUGAGGGCCACAAGGCCAGCCCCCAGCUGUGAUUUACAACAAUGAACACAGGGUCACAAUGAAAGAGCUCUGAGAUGUUUGUGAACAGAAAGAAUGAAGAUGACAUUGUGGGUCCUGAGUAAGGGCCCAGACAGGCUGCCCAACCCACAGAACCCAAGGCCUGAACAAGGCCUCAGAGGGUCCAUCUAAGGGAGAAUCUAAGGCACUGUAGUGAAGGACAUGAUUGGCCCACCAAGUGUGGUCUCCUGGUCUCAUGGCACGUCCCUUGCCGGAACCGGAACAACAAACAUUCCAUUUAGAAGGUCUUCCUGAACGUCUGCAAGCAGCAUUUGCUAAUGAAAAAUGAAGACAAGGCCAUUCUUGGAAGAGUGUGCCCCAGAAGACACACUCUGUCACAAGACCAACCAGGUCCCUUUCUAAGGUCCCUGAGAAUAGCAGCCUGGGAGCAACUAAGACUUUCAAAGGCUGACAAGGCACAGAGUGGAUGAAUGAAAAGAUUAACAAUACAUGGAAAAAACUUUGGCUUAUAAAACUCCAACUUGAGGCAGGGGCAACAGUGUCAACCAACAUGCAGAAGCAGACGUGAGUGCAGCAGAGAUGAUCUCAGAGGUUGUCAGCAGCCCCCACACUGCCCAAAUCCCAAGCCCAGCUCUCCCUCCUCCCCACACCCCAGUAACACACACGCACACGCACAUACAUGAUCAACGGACAGAUUGGCAAUCAAGGCCUAACAUCAGGAGAGAACUCUUGGCACUCUGCACGACAUUACAAGGAGUCCCAACCAGACAGUAAAAGAAGCGCUGGCCUAAGCUUGACUGAAGAGUCUUGGUUGAGAAGUCAGGCGGUGCUCAAGACGGCCAGGUCUGGAAAGUCUUUCACCUCUCCUACUUCACUGAACGGCUGCCCGCCUUGGUUGAAAGUCAGCUUGUACCGCAACCGGAUAGGUUCCUGGGACAGAAGAGAGGCUAAGAUGUUAAAGCAAUCGGUAGGAACAGAGAGUGAGGCCUACAGUAAAAGCCUCCACCCAACUUAGGACUCUCCAAGGAACAGCUGACAGCUUAUUUAUUUUUGAGACAGGUCUACUGUGUAGGCUAGGCUGGCCUGGAACUUGCUGUGUAAAUCAGGCUUGUCUCUUCCUCUAUUGUUGUGCACCAAUACACUUGGCUCAGUUUGUUUAUAUAAUUCCCCCUAAUGAAAACUUAAGAGUAAUGAAAUGGCAUAGAUAACCUGACUUAGUCUCUUUAGAACUACAAAUACAAAGAAAGCCAUGCAUGUAUCCUGGAAGCCCUGCCCACCUCUUCAGUCCCAAAGGGUAAUUUAGAGACCUACAGGGAGAUAGGACAUCUCCUCCAGAAGAGUCUAGCUAGGUAUGAAUCCACAUGUCUCUUCUUUGGUUCCAAGCUCUGACAAACUAUUACAGAUCUUCUAACAAGUCCCGAAGCAAAUCAGGCCCAGGCAAGAGCUGUUCCACCCCAAAUUCAACUUGGAGCUCCCUAGACUUGACAGCAAAGCCUCAGUUCAGGGUCUACUCCAUGCUACCAAAGACCCCGGAACAUACUUUGUGUGGGUUGUCGAGCAACAGCAUCUGAGAGAUCACGGCUGGAGGCGUCAAAGGACUGAAUGCUGGGAGCUUGGAACUGGAUGCUGGCUGCAGCUUCACUCGCAUCGACUAUGUGGGGAAAAGGCAACAUGUUAAUCCAGAAAGCUACCACUUUAGUAAGGACACUCAGGCCAACAACAGCUUAAUCUCCCUCAAGAAAAUCACCUCAGGAGACCCAUAGAGUCCCACAUACACAUUGCUUAUGAGUGGCUAUGGGACCCACAGAAGACUUUCCUUCUGGCCACAGGAAUAUACUUGAACUGUGGUCCGAAGUUGGCCUCUGAGAGGCAGCAUAAAACGCCAGAGAAAAUCUUAGGCUGAGCUCUCAAUUUGCCUCUUACUAGCUCCACGCCUGCCUUAGAUCAAGCUUUGGCUUAACAACAGUGUAAAGCAGUGACAGGCUACCACAUGGUGAGAGAACACACAUACCUAUUUCUGUCUUUGCCUGCUUGCUUUUAAGACCAAGUAAUAAAAAGAGAGCUGUGCAACCCUGGA